rnacentral:rRNA from 1 species
GACGAACGCUGGCGGCGUGCUUAACACAUGCAAGUCGAACGGAAAGGCCCUGCUUUUGUGGGGUGCUCGAGUGGCGAACGGGUGAGUAACACGUGAGUAACCUGCCCUUGACUUUGGGAUAACUUCAGGAAACUGGGGCUAAUACCGGAUAGGAGCUCCUGCUGCAUGGUGGGGGUUGGAAAGUUUCGGCGGUUGGGGAUGGACUCGCGGCUUAUCAGCUUGUUGGUGGGGUAGUGGCUUACCAAGGCUUUGACGGGUAGCCGGCCUGAGAGGGUGACCGGCCACAUUGGGACUGAGGUACGGCCCAGACUCCUACGGGAGGCAGCAGGGGGGAAUAUUGCACAAUGGGCGGAAGCCUGAUGCAGCAACGCCGCGUGCGGGAUGACGGCCUUCGGGUUGUAAACCGCUUUCGCCUGUGACGAAGCGUGAGUGACGGUAAUGGGUAAAGAAGCAACGGCUAACUACGUG